rnacentral:rRNA from 1 species
AAGACCUUGCACUUUUGGAGUGGCCGAUGUCUGAUUAGCUAGUUGGUGGGGUAAUGGCCUACCAAGGCUUCGAUCAGUAGCUGGUCUGAGAGGACGGCCAGCCACACUGGGACUGAGACACGGCCCAGACUCCUACGGGAGGCAGCAGUGGGGAAUUUUGGACAAUGGGCGCAAGCCUGAUCCAGCCAUGCCGCGUGAGUGAAGAAGGCCUUCGGGUUGUAAAGCUCUUUCAGCCGGGAAGAAAAGGUUGCGACUAAUAAUCGCAAUCCAUGACGGUACCGAAAGAAGAAGCACCGGCUAACUACGUGCCAGCAGCCGCGGUAAUACGUAGGGUGCGAGCGUUAAUCGGAAUUACUGGGCGUAAAGGGUGCGCAGGCGGUUUUGUAAGUCAGAUGUGAAAUCCCCGGGCUUAACCUGGGAACU